UACGUAGGGUGCAAGCGUUGUCCGGAAUUAUUGGGCGUAAAGCGUCCGUAGGCGGUUAUUCAAGUCGUGAGUUAAAGGUACGGGCUCAACCCGUGUAUGGUUCACGAAACUGUGUGACUAGAAUUAGGUAGAGGUUGCUGGAAUUCCUGGUGUAGCGGUGAAAUGCGUAGAUAUCAGGAGGAACACCUGUGGCGAAAGCGUGCAACUGGGCCUUAAUUGACGCUAAUGGACGAAGGCCAGGGUAGCGAAAGGG
rnacentral:rRNA from 1 species